ACAGCAUGGUGGGGGCACUUCCUAAUCAAUUCCUUCAGCCUCUCCCAAGUCUCAUAAAAUAUUUUUCCAUCUAUCUAUAAAAAAUUAGUUAUUGCUUUUUGGAUUU